UGGGGAAUAUUGGACAAUGGGGGGAACCCUGAUCCAGCAAUGCCGCGUGUGUGAAGAAGGCCUUAGGGUUGUAAAGCACUUUAGGCUGGGAGGAAGGUAUGAAGUUUAAGAGAUAUCAUAUUUGACUGUACCGGCAGAAUAAGCACCGGCUAACUCUGUGCCAGCAGCCGCGGUAAUACAGAGGGUGCGAGCGUUAAUCGGAGUUACUGGGCGUAAAGGGCGCGUAGGCGGUUUGUUAAGUGAUAUGUGAAAUCCCUGGGCUUAACCUAGGAACUGCAUGUCAUACUGGCGAGCUAGAGUAUUGUAGAGGGUAGUGGAAUUUCCGGUGUAGCGGUGAAAUGCGUAGAGAUCGGAAGGAACACCAGUGGCGAAGGCGGCUACCUGGACAAAUACUGACGCUGAGGCGCGAAAGCGUGGGGAGCAAACAGG
rnacentral:rRNA from 1 species